ACGUCAAGUCAGCAUGACCUUUAUAUCCAGGGCUACACACACGCUACAAUGGUCAGUACAAUGGGUUGCCAAGCCGCGAGGCGGAGCCAAUCCUAAAAAGCUGGCCUCAGUUCAGAUUGCAGUCUGAAACUCGACUGCAUGAAGUCGGAGUUGCUAGUAAACGCAGGUCAGCUAUACUGCGUUGAAUACGUUCCCGGGGCUU
rnacentral:rRNA from 1 species